ACGGAGGGGGCUAGCGUUGUUCGGAAUUACUGGGCGUAAAGCGCACGUAGGCGGCUUUGUGAGUUAGAGGUGAAAGCCCGGGGCUCAACUCCGGAAUUGCCUUUAAGACUGCAUCGCUAGAAUUGUGGAGAGGUAAGUGGAAUUCCGAGUGUAGAGGUGAAAUUCGUAGAUAUUCGGAAGAACACCGGUGGCGAAGGCGGUCUGCUGGGCCAGAACUGACGCUGAGGCGCGACAGCGUGGGGAGCAAACAGGA
rnacentral:rRNA from 1 species